rnacentral:rRNA from 1 species
AUUGAACGCUGGCGGCAUGCCUUACACAUGCAAGUCGAACGGCAGCAAGGGAGCAAUCCUGGUGGCGAGCGGCGAACGGGUGAGUAAUAUAUCGGAACGUGCCCAGUCGUGGGGGAUAACGCAGCGAAAGCGGUGCUAAUACCGCAUACGAUCUACGGAUGAAAGCGGGGUAUCGCAAGACCUCGCGCGACAGGAGCGGCCGAGAUCAGAUUAGCUAGUUGGUGAGGUAAAGGCUCACCAAGGCGACGAUCUGUAGCUGGUCUGAGAGGACGACCAGCCACACUGGAACUGAGACACGGUCCAGACUCCUACGGGAGGCAGCAGUGGGGAAUUUUGGACAAUGGGCGCAAGCCUGAUCCAGCAAUGCCGCGUGCAGGAUGAAGGCCUUCGGGUUGUAAACUGCUUUUGUACGGAACGAAACGGUGAGCUCUAAUACAGUUUGCUAAUGACGGUACCGUAAGAAUAAGCACCGGCUAACUACGUGCCAGCAGCCGCGGUAACAC